UACGUAGGGUGCAAGCGUUGUCCGGAAUUAUUGGGCGUAAAGAGCUCGUAGGCGGUCUGUCGCGUCGGCUGUGAAAACCCGAGGCUCAACCUCGGGCCUGCAGUCGAUACGGGCAAACUAGAGUACUGCAGGGGAGACUGGAAUUCCUGGUGUAGCGGUGAAAUGCGCAGAUAUCAGGAGGAACACCGGUGGCGAAGGCGGGUCUCUGGGCCGUAACUGACGCUGAGGAGCGAAAGCAUGGGGAGCGAACAGG
rnacentral:rRNA from 1 species